rnacentral:lncRNA from 1 species
UUUCUUGAUAAGAACAACGUAUAGAUUGAUAGAGGCUUGCAAUUGGCAAUCUCCUAAGACAGAAUUUAGCCCCUACUGUGGUGUACGUAGCUUUGUGUAGGCUUCUAUCUUUAGGAUACAACUAUCGAUCUCUGUUUUAACACCGUACAGAGACCCUAGCAAACUCUACUUUGAGAUUCUCUGAAAUUGAUUUGGAGAAGAAGAAGAUGAGAAUCAAUCCCAAUCUUUCUCUCCUUUGUUUCUCUUGUAUUGUUCUUCUCUCUUG